rnacentral:tRNA from 1 species
CAAGACGUAGCUUUAACAAAAGCAUUCAGCUUACACCUGAAAGAUGUCUGUUGAACCAGAUCGUCUUGA